UACGUAGGGUGCAAGCGUUAAUCGGAAUUACUGGGCGUAAAGCGUGCGCAGGCGGUUGUGUAAGACAGAUGUGAAAUCCCCGGGCUACAACCUGGGAACUGCAUUUGUGACUGCACAGCUGGAGUGCGGCAGAGGGGGAUGGAAUUCCGCGUGUAGCAGUGAAAUGCGUAGAUAUGCGGAGGAACACCGAUGGCGAAGGCAAUCCCCUGGGCCUGCACUGACGCUCAUGCACGAAAGCGUGGGGAGCAAACAGG
rnacentral:rRNA from 1 species